rnacentral:RNase_P_RNA from 1 species
AAAUUUCGUGAGAUACCUGCACAAAAGGGGAAACCCGGAGUGAGGAAAGUCCGGACACCAUGGAACCAAUGAACCGGGUAACGCCCGGAACGUUGAGGGGAAAUUCUCAACGGAUGGAAAGUGCAACAGAAAGUAUACCGCCUCUUUGGGGGUAAGGGUGAAAUGGCGGGGUAAGAGCCCACCGCUGAUUGUGUAAGCAAUCGGGCAUGGCAAACCCUUCAUGGUGCAAUCCCAAGUAAGCAAUCGUUAUGAGCAGGUUCCGCCAGGUUGUGGGUAGGGAGCAAAGAUCCGAACGGCAACGUUCGGGCAAGAUAAAUAGGUAUCGCCCGGGAACGGGUACAGAAUCCGGCUUAUGAUCGAAAUUUUUCC